rnacentral:rRNA from 1 species
GGACACUUCGAGGGGCUCGCGGCCUAUCAGCUAGUUGGUGAGGUAACGGCUCACCAAGGCGACGACGGGUAGCUGGUCUGAGAGGAUGGCCAGCCACAUUGGGACUGAGAAACGGCCCAG